rnacentral:rRNA from 1 species
CAAGGCUUGACAUGCAUCUCUAAGCGCGUGAAAGCGCGUGACCCUUCGGGGGAUUUGCACAGGUGCUGCAUGGCCGUCGUCAGCUCGUGUCGUGAGAUGUUGGGUUAAGUCCCGCAACGAGCGCAACCCUUGUGAACAGUUGCCAGCGGGUAAUGCCGGGAACUCUGUUCAGACUGCCCAGAUCAACUGGGAGGAAGGUGGGGACGACGUCAGGUCAGUAUGGCCCUUACGCCUUGGGCUGCACACGUACUACAAUGCCCAGUACAAUGAGAACCGAUGCCGCGAGGCGGAGGAAAUCUGCAAAACUGGGCCCAGUUCGGAUUGGAGGCUGCAACUCGCCUCCAUGAAGUUGGAAUCGCUAGUAAUGGCGCAUCAUCUACGGCGCCGUGAAUACGUUCCC